rnacentral:misc_RNA from 1 species
GAAAUGCGAUAAGUAAUGUGAAUUGCAGAAUUCAGUGAAUCAUCGAAUCUUUGAACGCACAUUGCGCCCGCCAGAAUUCUGGCGGGCAUGCCUGUUCGAGCGUCAUUUCAACCCUCGAGCCCCCCUUUCGGGGGGAGCCCGGCGUUGGGGACCCGGCGCUAACAACGCCGGCCCCGAAAUGGAGUGGCGGCCCGUCCGCGGCGACCUCUGCGUAGUAACAACCACUCGCACCGGGACCCGGGCGCGGUCACGCCGUAAAACACCCCACCUUCCGAAUGUUGACCUCGAAUCAGGUAGGAAUACCCGCUGAACUUAAGC